rnacentral:lncRNA from 1 species
GAUGGAACCCAGGGCCUCAUGCGUGCUACCCAAGUUGUCUACCACUGAGCUACAAACCCAGCCCCAUGGCUGCCGAUUUUCUUAAUCCUUAUAACCUAAACUGUUGGGUAGGCUGUUUUGUUAUCUUAUUUUACCAAAUAGGAAUUUGAUGCUCAGAGAGGUUAAGGGAACUAUCAGAGUCAUACAGUCUGAAAAAUUCAAGAAGAGAUAUGAACAUUGAGAGUCUACCUCCUGCCCAUACCUUUCAACAACGUUGAAGCUCAGAUCAAGAUCCUGAUCAUUAGAGCCAGCGGAUCACCAUGGUGGGAUGAGGAGCAGGAUGGAGAAACUUGGUGUCUCCUCCCACUGGCCUCUGGGGGACCUGUCAAUUCUUGCCCAGAAAGAAAAAGAAGCUACCCCCUAAAGGAGCCACGGAGGUUAAACUGUCCUGACAAAAGACCCAGUUUGCCGAGGGAGUUUUGUCUUCCCAGGUAAUGGAAUUGUUUUUAAUGGCAAGAAUGAGCUCAUUACAGAUGCAGCUUGUGCUAAUAAUGAUAAUUUGCUGAGCAUUAAAAUCACCUCUCUGCAUCUCCCCCGGCAGACAGUUGAUGCUCUAGAAAUUAUAGGCUAGGGAGAAACAGAAAGGAGAAAGUCUAAGGGAAAAAAUUGCAAUGGAGAGCUACUUCAACAAAAGGACUCUCAGUUCUGCACACUGAACUUGGAGAUCUGAAUCGCGAACUUGUGGAAGGGAGACGUGCAGAAUUUUUGAAUUGCCUUUAUUCACUUUUGCUACCUCUGUCACUGGGUGGUUUGGGGUUCUGUUUUGGUUUUAUAGCUAAAGCCAUUUUUUAAAAGUUGUGUCAAAUGAAUUCGUCACUUAAAUAUUGGUAUGUAAUACGAUCCAUGGAUGAGAAAACUUGGGACAGUUUAAGAGCCACAUCAGCCCUGCCACCUCCUUACUUUCCUUGAAAAUACUGCAACAGACUUGACCCCCAAGUGGCCAUCUACAAACUGGGUUUGGGAAAAGGGGACAGACAGACAUGCCUCCCAUGUGGCUCAUUUCUGAGGUGGGCAGAGAUGCCUGCAUAGGAAGGGAUCUGUCUCCUGGUGUCCUCUCUGGGGCUUUGAGGUCCCUCCUUCAGGGUUUAGGAAAACUGGGAAAAAUCUCAACUAUUCACAUAGAUUUGCCCCUGCCCUUUGAAGAAAGUGCUAGCUGUCUUCUAUUGAAAUGUGAUUUUUAAAAUUUAAUUUCCAAAGUAUUUAAGUAUCUUUUUCAACAGUUCAAAUAAGGAUUUUAAAGAUGAUAUUAUUUCUUAGUUAUGAAUGCAAUAUCUGGAGGCUGUGGAAAAUCAGAGAAAAC